CAUUUCUGAUUUUUCUGAAAAUUGGGUAACAAUAUCUACUUUUGAGCAAACUUUAGUUUUUAUAGAUUUUUGGCAUAAAAUCUACCUUUUCAUGGCAUUUUUGGAUUGCCAUAAUAUAUUAUCUCCCUCAAUAUGUAGAAAGUGGAAGUUUUAGUUUUGGGAUCUCAGACUCGGGUUCACUCCCCCCUUGUUAGUGGCCUACAACUGCUAGUAUUCUUUGAAUGCAAUUAAUAUUCAGAAACUUGAGAGUUCAGCAACAUCUGGGAGGGGGGCUUUAAUUUGAGAUACCUGUUUAUGGCAUAUUUAGACAGCUGCCUUUGCAAUAUGUAAUUGCAUAUAUUAUUAUUUAUAUAGCGCCAUCAAACUCUGUAGCGCUGUACUAUAUCUCAGGACAAAAUUUGUUUGCCACGCAAGGGUAACAGCUCUACACAAUUUUCAGGAAAAUUAGAAAUGCUAAGGCAAUCUACAGUUGGGUAUCUGACAUGGAAUGGCCCUGCAGAUAUUAUUGCAAAUUCAUUUGACACAGACAUUACAGUAAGUUCUCUUUCCCCAUUAUCCAGGCAAAAUAAUGGUGUGGUUUAGCUGGGCUUUUGUGUUGAGACACCUUACAGGUGAUGUACCGGUAGUUUGGCAAUUGUAUAAAACCGUUGUUUGUUUAUUUUUUAACUGUUUCUUGCCUUCCUUGACGAGCACACAUAUAAAUUUACAUGAUGGUCUUGAAGGACCCUGUUGCUUCACAGACUUCAGUCGACUUGAAGAAUACAUACAAACCCUGCUCUCGCUGUUUAUUUUUUUGUUUGUUUUUUUUCUUUCUUUUAAUCCUUUUGUGGAAACGUGGCAGUAAGCAGGAAAAUACAAAUUAUGUGCAUCUUUUCUUAGGAUGUAUGGUUUUUGUUAAAAAUAUGCAUAAAUUAUGUUCUGUAUUAUAGUAUGAUUUUUAAGAGCCCACAGAGGUUUAAAAGUGUUCUUUUGUGUUUUGUUUUGUUUUUGUUUUUUUUAUAUGUAAUUUGUAAAAUAAUGAAGGUACUGAAAGUAUUUUUGUGGCGAAAGGGCUAAUGUUAAUGUUUGUUAAAUAAGAUUAGAGAAAUAAAUUUUUUGUAUUAUUUUGUAUUUCUAAAUCCAAAGUUUCUUUUUUAUAUUGAUAUUUUCCAAAGUUUAAAAUAAAUAUACUUUGGUUGUAUACUGCUUUUGCUUAUUUAAACCCAUCUAAAAAUAUUUACAUGGGUUUGCGCUUUUGAUGAAGUUUGUUUUCCAUUUAAUUGUGUCUCUUAUAACUUUUGUACAGCGCUGUUACCCCUUUAUUCAAAAAUAUUCCAUUACUGCCAAAAUAUCAAGUUACUUGCCUCAAAUUCAUGUGUUGCUUGGUACCAAAUUAUGGAAUUUACGGAGGUGGAAUUUAAAAUUUCUUUUUUUUUAAAAUUUUAUUCAUAAUAAAUUGUUUUAUAGCUAAA